UGGGGAAUUUUGGACAAUGGGCGACAGCCUGAUCCAGCAAUGCCGCGUGCAGGAUGAAGGCCUUCGGGUUGUAAACUGCUUUUGUACGGAACGAAAAAGCUUCUCCUAAUACGAGAGGCCCAUGACGGUACCGUAAGAAUAAGCACCGGCUAACUACGUGCCAGCAGCCGCGGUAAUACGUAGGGUGCGAGCGUUAAUCGGAAUUACUGGGCGUAAAGCGUGCGCAGGCGGUUAUGUAAGACAGAUGUGAAAUCCCCGGGCUCAACCUGGGAACUGCAUUUGUGACUGCAUGGCUAGAGUACGGUAGAGGGGGAUGGAAUUCCGCGUGUAGCAGUGAAAUGCGUAGAUAUGCGGAGGAACACCGAUGGCGAAGGCAAUCCCCUGGACCUGUACUGACGCUCAUGCACGAAAGCGUGGGGAGCAAACA
rnacentral:rRNA from 1 species